rnacentral:lncRNA from 1 species
GCUACAGCCACCAUUGGCACCGCCGCAGCCACCGCCAUUGCGGUAACAGCGCCGCCGGUACCAUCGGAACCGCUGCUGGUAGCGCUGCCGGUACCACCGGAUCCACCACCGGUACCACCAACCCCGGUACCGGGCCAGCACCGGAACCGACACCGGUACCGCUACAGCCACCAUUGGCACCGCCGCAGCCACCGCCAUUGCGGUAACAGCGCCGCCGGUACCAUCGGAACCGCUGCUGGUAGCGCUGCCGGUACCACCGGAUCCACCACCGGUACCACCAACACCGGUACCGGGAGUACCACCACCCCCAGUGCCACCAGUAAGAGGAGAAUUGCUGGUGCUACCGCUGUUGGUACCGCUGGUACCACCACAACCAGCUCUGGUACCACCGCAGCCAUCGCUGGUACCGCAGUUGUCACCGGUACCACCGUGAGCACCUCCGGUACCAUCAGUACCGGUGUACCCUCGUCACCGGUACCGGAAGUACCAUCAGCACCAGUACCACCGAUACCGGCACUCGCAUCACCGCCGGUACCGCCUGUACCAGCAGUAGCAGCUCCAGUACCGUCAUCAGAACCAUCGGUACCGUCACCACCGGUACCACCGUUGCCGGUACCAUCGGUGCAGCUGGUGUCACCAUUGGCAGUACCACCACCACCGGUACCAUCGGCAUCACUGCUCCCAUCGCCACCGGUACCACCAGUACCUCCGGUACCAGUACCACCGAUCCCAUCAUCCACAGCACCGCCGGCACCAGAACCACCGGUACCACCGAUCCCACCAGUCCCACCAUUGACAGCACGACUGGCACCGGUAGAACCGACACCGGUACCAUCAGCACCACCGGUACCACCCGGCCCGUCAUUGGCAGCAGCACCAACACCACCAGUACCAUCAGACCCAUCACUGAUAGCACCACCGGAACCAGUAUCGCCAGUCCCAUCAUUGCCAGCUCCACUGGUACCACCGGGUCCAUCAGUGCCAGCCCUACCAGAACCAGCUCCACUGGUACCACCGGAUCCAUCAGUGCCAGCCCUACCGGAACCAGCCCCACUGGUACCACCAGCCCCAUCAUCGACAGCACCUCUGGAACCAGUACCAUCAGUCCCAUUAUUGACAGUCCUACCAGAACCAGCCCCAUUGGUACCACCAGACCCAUCAUUGGCAGUCCUACCAGAACCAGCCCCACUGGUACCAUCGGAUCUAUCAUUGCCAGCCCUACCGGAACCAGCCCCACUGGUACCAUCGGAUCCAUCAUUGCCAGCCCUACCGGAACCAGCCCCACUGGUACCACCGCACC